GAUGAACGCUGGCGGCGUGCCUAAUACAUGCAAGUCGAACGAACAGACGAGGAGCUUGCUCCUCUGACGUUAGCGGAGGACGGGUGAGUAACACGUGGAUAACCUACCUAUAAGACGGGUAUAACUACGGGAAACCGGAGCUAAUACCGGAGAAUCUAUUGAACCGCAGGGUUCGAUGGUGAGAGACGGUUGUGGUGGCACGUAUAGCGGGAUCCGCGCCGGAUUAGCUGGUUGGGAAGGUAACGGCUUACCAAGGCAACGAUGCGUAGCCGACCGGAGAGGCUGGUAGGCCACAUGGGAGCUGAGCCAGGGUCCAGACUCCUGAGGGAGGCAGCAGUAGGGAACCGGACGCAACGGUGGAAAGUAUGACGGAGCGACGCCGAGUGAGUGAUGAAGGUGUCCGGAGCGUAAAAACCUGUUAUGAGGGAAGAACAAAUGUGUAAGUAACUAUGCACGGCUUGACGGUACCUAAUAAGAAAGCAACGGCUAACUACGUG
rnacentral:rRNA from 1 species